rnacentral:rRNA from 1 species
GAUGAACGCUGGCGGCGUGCCUAAUACAUGCAAGUCGAGCGAACAGACGAGGGGCUUGCUCCUCUGACGUUAGCGGCGGACGGGUGAGUAACACGUGGAUAACCUACCUAUAAGACUGGGAUAACUUCGGGAAACCGGAGCUAAUACCGGAUAAUAUAUUGAACCGCAUUGUUCAAUAGUGAAAGACGGUUUUGCUGUCUCUUAUAGAUGGAUCCGCGCGGCAUUAGCUAGUUGGUAAGGUAACGGCUUACCAAGGCAACGAUGCGUAGCCGACCUGAGAGAGUGAUCGGCGACACGGGAACGGGGACACGGUCCAGACUCCUACGGGAGGCAGCAGUAGGGAAUCUUCCGCAAUGGGCGAAAGCAUGACGGAGCAACGCCGCGUGAGUGAUGAAGGUCUUCGGAUCGUAAAACUCUGUUAUUAGGGAAGAACAAAUGUGUAAGUAAAUAUGCCCGUCUUGACGGUACCUAAUCAGAAAGCCACGGCUAACUACGUG